rnacentral:misc_RNA from 1 species
GGAAAGCUCUCGAGGUGUAGAUGAAGUUUGACAUAAGACCCGAUUUGAUCGAUGGCAGGAUCUGUCGAAUUUUGGCCGGGAAGCCAAAACAGCGCACGCGCGUAAGGGAGACUUCGCGCGUCAUUUCAGGCCAUUUGGAGCGCCGGCCGGCGGUGAGGAAGGGCUGGGGCGGCGUGCCAGAGAGGUGGGGAGGCUGGGGUGGCGGCAGCGCGAUGUGGGGAGGAGAGAGAAAAAGGGAGAG